GGCUCAGGAUGAACGCUGGCGGCGUGCCUAAUACAUGCAAGUCGAGCGAACGGACGAGAAGCUUGCUUCUCUGAUGUUAGCGGCGGACGGGUGAGUAACACGUGGAUAACCUACCUAUAAGACUGGGAUAACUUCGGGAAACCGGAGCUAAUACCGGAUAAUAUUUUGAACCGCAUGGUUCAAAAGUGAAAGACGGUCUUGCUGUCACUUAUAGAUGGAUCCGCGCUGCAUUAGCUAGUUGGUAAGGUAACGGCUUACCAAGGCAACGAUGCAUAGCCGACCUGAGAGGGUGAUCGGCCACACUGGAACUGAGACACGGUCCAGACUCCUACGGGAGGCAGCAGUAGGGAAUCUUCCGCAAUGGGCGAAAGCCUGACGGAGCAACGCCGCGUGAGUGAUGAAGGUCUUCGGAUCGUAAAACUCUGUUAUUAGGGAAGAACAUAUGUGUAAGUAACUGUGCACAUCUUGACGGUACCUAAUCAGAAAGCCACGGCUAACUACGUGCCAGCAGCCGCGGUAAUACGUAGGUGGCAAGCGUUAUCCGGAAUUAUUGGGCGUAAAGCGCGCGUAGGCGGUUUUUUAAGUCUGAUGUGAAAGCCCACGGCUCAACCGUGGAGGGUCAUUGGAAACUGGAAAACUUGAGUGCAGAAGAGGAAAGUGGAAUUCCAUGUGUAGCGGUGAAAUGCGCAGAGAUAUGGAGGAACACCAGUGGCGAAGGCGACUUUCUGGUCUGUAACUGACGCUGAUGUGCGAAAGCGUGGGGAUCAAACAGGAUUAGAUACCCUGGUAGUCCACGCCGUAAACGAUGAGUGCUAAGUGUUAGGGGGUUUCCGCCCCUUAGUGCUGCAGCUAACGCAUUAAGCACUCCGCCUGGGGAGUACGACCGCAAGGUUGAAACUCAAAGGAAUUGACGGGGACCCGCACAAGCGGUGGAGCAUGUGGUUUAAUUCGAAGCAACGCGAAGAACCUUACCAAAUCUUGACAUCCU
rnacentral:rRNA from 1 species